AGUGGGGGAUAACGUCCCGAAAGGGACGCUAAUACCGCAUGACAUUCUGCUUUUGGAAAAGCGGAAAUCAAAGCUGGGGAUCGCAAGACCUGGCGCUUGAAGAGGGGCCCGCGCCUGAUUAGCUAGUUGGUGGGGUAAUGGCCUACCAAGGCUACGAUCAGUAUCCGGCCUGAGAGGGCGGACGGACACACUGGGACUGAGACACGGCCCAGACUCCUACGGGAGGCAGCAGUGGGGAAUUGUUCGCAAUGGGCGCAAGCCUGACGACGCAACGCCGCGUGGAGGAUGAAGAUCUUCGGGUCGUAAACUCCUGUCGAGUGGGAAGAAUAGUCUCGGGGUAAAUAUCCCCGAGGCCUGACGGUACCACUAAAGGAAGCCCCGGCUAACUCCGUGCCAGCAGCCGCGGUAAUACGGGGGGGGCAAGCGUUGUUCGGAAUUACUGGGCGUAAAGGGCUCGUAGGCGGCCAACUAAGUCGGAUGUGAAAUCCCCAGGCUCAACCUGGGAACUGCAUCCGAUACUGGAUGGCUUGAAUUUGGGAGAGGGAUGCAGAAUUCCAGGUGUAGCGGUGAAAUGCGUAGAUAUCUGGAGGAAUACCGGUGGCGAAGGCGGCAUCCUGGACCAACAUUUGACGCUGAGGAGCGAAAGCUAGGGGAGCAAACGGGAUUAGAUACCCCGGNAGUCCUAGCCCUAAACGAUGAAUGCUUGGUGUGACGGGUAUCGAUCCCUGUCGUGCCGAAGCUAACGCAUUAAGCAUUCCGCCUGGGGAGUACGGUCGC
rnacentral:rRNA from 1 species